AGUGAACGCUGGCGGUAGGCCUAACACAUGCAAGUCGAACGGCAGCUCAGUAAGAGCUUGCUCUUACGGGUGGCGAGUGGCGGACGGGUGAGGAAUACAUCGGAAUCUACUUUUUCGUGGGGGAUAACGUAGGGAAACUUACGCUAAUACCGCAUACGACCUACGGGUGAAAGCAGGGGAUCUUCGGACCUUGCGCGAUUGAAUGAGCCGAUGUCGGAUUAGCUAGUUGGCGGGGUAAAGGCCCACCAAGGCGACGAUCCGUAGCUGGUCUGAGAGGAUGAUCAGCCACACUGGAACUGAGACACGGUCCAGACCCCUACGGGAGGCAGCAGUGGGGAAUAUUGGACAAUGGGCGCAAGCCUGAUCCAGCCAUACCGCGUGGGUGAAGAAGGCCUUCGGGUUGUAAAGCCCUUUUGUUGGGAAAGAAAAGCAGCAGGUUAAUACCCCGCUGUUCUGACGGUACCCAAAGAAUAAGCACCGGCUAACUUCGUG
rnacentral:rRNA from 1 species